rnacentral:rRNA from 1 species
UACGUAGGGACCAAGCGUUGUUCGGAUUUACUGGGCGUAAAGGGCGCGUAGGCGGCGCGGUAAGUCACUUGUGAAAUCUCUGAGCUUAACUCAGAACGGCCAAGUGAUACUGCAGUGCUAGAGUGCAGAAAGGGCAAUCGGAAUUCUUGGUGUAGCGGUGAAAUGCGUAGAUAUCAAGAGGAACACCUGAGGCGAAGGCGGGUUGCUAGGCUGACACUGACGCUGAGACGCGAAAGCGUGGGGAGCGAACAGG